AUGGCUGCCAAGAUCACCUCAUGCUUUGUUUUCCUAAAGGAAGCGCUGAUCCUUCCCACGCUAAACCCCAAGUUGUUCGCCCCCGUGGUCCUCCUCUUUGCCGUCACCGCCUUCCUUGACUCCUUGGUCGAUGACGUCUUCUUCCAGCCUCUCGUCGACGACAUGGGCAGCCGUCUCAUCGCGGUCAACAACACCGACACCUUGAGCGCCGCCGAGUACAGCAAGCUCACGGAGGAGACAGAGCCAGGCGGUACAAAGCUCAUCCUCAUCACCUUCUCCGAGGUGAUCGUCAACCUGGCGGUCGGCUACGUCAAGCAGAUCCUCGCCCUCUUCGCGGCCUCCACGACCUACUCCGGCGACCGCUACUCGCUGGCCGAGCUCCUGCGCCCGUUGGUCAACGGGAGGAUCAGCCUGAAGGGCCCUUCCGUCACCAUCGCCGUCGUCGGGGCCGUUGACUUCGCAUUGGCGGUCCCGUACGCGCUGCCUCAUUACGUGAUGCACGGCCGCUCGGGGGUGCUCUCCGUCCAGGGUCUCGUCUCCCACCUCGCGAACCUCGGCUCCCUCUGCUUCACCGUCGUCGCGCUGGUGGGCGUCGCCGCAUCGGCAGUCGACAGGAAGUGCCGCGGCGUGCGCGCGCUCCGGCAGGCGUGGCGGCUCGUGACGCGUGUCAGGAGGAAGGAGGGACUCGUGCUGGUGCUCGUGGCAUACCUCGGGCCUACCGUUGUGGCUCCACUGCACGGGUUCGCUCUUGGGUAUGCCAAGAAGAGCACGGCGGCGUGCUUGUGCUUGCUGGCGGUGUGUGCUCUUCUUUCUGGCGCGCAGGAGCUGUUCUCUUUGGCGGCGGCCACGGUGUACUACUACCAAGCCAUGGAGAGCAAGGAGGUGAUCGAUGCCUUGUGGUUAUGCUAA
rnacentral:rRNA from 1 species